CAUCAUGAGUGCUCCUGCAGCUUGGAGCAUGACCUUUGACCUGCAGCUUCUACUAUAGUCAUACGCGUUAUUCCCGUUUUAGCAACAACCUUCUUUUUUUUUAACUUUGGGCACAAAAUUAAGUUAUUAAUUAAAUAAU